rnacentral:pre_miRNA from 1 species
AGGCAAGAUGUUGGCAUAGCUGUUGAAUUCUAUGACCUGCUAUGCCUUCAGAUUGUCAUC